GUGUAUCUGCUGUUAGUGUUGGACAAGUUACUCUGUCCACGUUCUUUGUUUCCUUCCCUUCCCUGAGAUACAACCACACCUAAUUUCCUGAGCCUAAACACCCUUGAACACCGACGAAGGAGUAACCCCAAAAGUUAGGAGUGACUUCACUUAACCUUGACAGUGACAAAGAAACUUCUUCAAGGAAAAAUAACUUUGAAAGGAAAAAAAAAAAAGGAUUUGAAUAAUCAUUCAGAUCUUAACCAUUCUUCCAACAGGAAAUAUGAGCAUAUUAAUGGUACCAGAAAAAUGUGUCAAAAGAGGCUCAACUGGAAAAAGGUGGAGACUGUAUGGUGAGAACAACAGCACAGUCCGAAGGGUGUGUGUUACAGCUCCUCGAG